ACAGCAGUCGCCGCGGUAAUACGUAGGUGGCAAGCGUUGUCCGGAAUUAUUGGGCGUAAAGGGCUCGCAGGCGGUUUCUUAAGUCUGAUGUGAAAGCCCCCGGCUCAACCGGGGAGGGUCAUUGGAAACUGGGAAACUUGAGUGCAGAAGAGGAGAGUGGAAUUCCACGUGUAGCGGUGAAAUGCGUAGAGAUGUGGAGGAACACCAGUGGCGAAGGCGACUCUCUGGUCUGUAACUGACGCUGAGGAGCGAAAGCGUGGGGAGCGAACAGGAUUAGAUACCCGGUAGUCCCUGUCUCUUAUACA
rnacentral:rRNA from 1 species